rnacentral:rRNA from 1 species
AGUGAACGUUGGCGGCGUGGAUUAGGCAUGCAAGUCGAGCGAGAACCGUAGCAAUACGGGGACAGCGGCGAAAGGGACAGUAAUGUGUAGGUACCUACCUCCGGGUUCGGGAUAGCUACGGGAAACUGCAGGUAAUACCGAAUAACGUCUCCGGACCAAAGGUGUGAUUCCACCUGGAGAGGGGCCUGCAUCCUAUUAGCUAGUUGGGGAGGUAACGGCUCACCAAGGCGACGAUGGGUAGCGGAUGUGAGAGCACGACCCGCGUCAUUGGGACUGAGACACUGCCCAGACACCUACGGGUGGCUGCAGUCGAGGAUCUUCGGCAAUGGGCGCAAGCCUGACCGAGCGACGCCGCGUGCGGGAUGAAGGCCUUCGGGUUGUAAACCGCUGUCGUAGAGGAGGAAAUGCAGGGGGGUUCUCCCCUCUGUUUGACCUAUUCUAGGAGGAAGGACGGGCUAAGUUCGUGCCAGCCGCCGCAGUAA